rnacentral:rRNA from 1 species
UAGGGAAUAUUCCACAAUGAGCGAAAGCUUGAUGGAGCGACACAGCGUGCACGAUGAAGGCCCUCGGGUUGUAAAGUGCUGUUGCAAGGGAAGAACAGUUAGUUGAGGAAAUGCUUCUAAUCUGACGGUACCUUGUUAGAAAGCGAUGGCUAACUAUGUGCCAGCAGCCGCGGUAAUACAUAGGUCGCAAGCGUUAUCCGGAAUUAUUGGGCGUAAAGCGUUCGUAGGCUGUUUAUUAAGUCUGGAGUCAAAUCCCAGGGCUCAACCCUGGCUCGCUUUGGAUACUGGUAAACUAGAGUUAGAUAGAGGUAAGCGGAAUUCCAUGUGGAGCGGUGAAAUGCGUAGAUAUAUGGAAGAACACCAAAGGCGAAGGCAGCUUACUGGGUCUAUACUGACGCUGAGGGACGAAAGCGUGGGGAGCAAACAGGAUUAGAUACCCUGGUAGUCCACGCUGUAAACGAUGAUCAUUAGUCGGUGGAAAACUACUGACGCAGCUNACGCAUUANUGAUCCGCCUGAGUAGUAUGCUCGCAAGAGU